CAUCUAAGUACCUGGAGGAAAAGAGAGUAUUCCGUGAGUAGUGGCGAGCGAAAGCGGAGGAGCCCAAACCAAGCUGGCUUAGGUCAGUUUGGGGUUGUAGGACCAACAGAAGACAAGUUGUAGCGAGCAGAACAGCACUGGAAAGGCUGACCGGAGCGGGUGAGAGUCCCGUAAGCGGAGCGACGACUUGUUGGUUGGAAUCCUGAGUACUGCGGGGCACGCUAACCCUGCAGGAAGCUGGGAGGCCCACCUUCCAAGGCUAAAUACACUUGACGACCGAUAGUGAACUAGUACCGUGAGGGAAAGGUGAAAAGCACCCCGAUGAGGGGAGUGAAAUAGAACCUGAAACCGUACGCUUACAAGCAGUUAGAGCCCCAUGCCGCAAGGCGGGGUGAUAGCGUGCCUCUUGGAGAAUGAGCCAACGAGUUACUUUUUGUGGUCAAGGUUAAGGCAAUGAAU
rnacentral:rRNA from 1 species